UACGUAGGGAGCAAGCGUUGUCCGGAAUCAUUGGGCGUAAAGCGCGCGUAGGCGGCCCUGUAAGUCCGUUGUGAAAGUCAAAGGCUCAACCUUUGAAAGCCGAUGGAUACUGCAGGGCUAGAGUUCGGAAGAGGCGAGUGGAAUUCCUGGUGUAGCGGUGGAAUGCGUAGAUAUCGGGAGGAACACCUGUGGCGAAAGCGGCGCACUGGACCACAACUGACGCUGAGGCGCGAAAGCUAGGGGAGCAAACAGG
rnacentral:rRNA from 1 species